CCUACGGGAGGCAGCAGUGAGGAAUAUUGGUCAAUGGGCUUACGCCUGAACCAGCCAAGUCGCGUGAGGGAAGACUGCCCUAUGGGUUGUAAACCUCUUUUGUCAGGGAGCAAUUGGCGCCACGUGUAGCGUUAUCGAGAGUACCCGAAGAAAAAGCAUCGGCUAACUCCGUGCCAGCAGCCGCGGUAAUACGGAGGAUGCGAGCGUUAUCCGGAUUUAUUGGGUUUAAAGGGUGCGUAGGCGGAAUGUCAAGUCAGCGGUAAAAUGGCGGGGCUCAACCCCGUUCCGCCGUUGAAACUGGCGUUCUUGAGUGGGCGAGAAGUAUGCGGAAUGCGUGGUGUAGCGGUGAAAUGCAUAGAUAUCACGCAGAACUCCGAUUGCGAAGGCAGCAUGCCGGCGCCCAACUGACGCUGAAGCACGAAAGCGUGGGGAUCGAACAGGAUUAGAUACCCUGGUAGUC
rnacentral:rRNA from 1 species